rnacentral:rRNA from 1 species
GUGGGGAAUAUUGCACAAUGGGGGAAACCCUGAUCUAGCCAUGCCGCGUGAGCGAUGAAGGCCUUAGGGUUGUAAAGCUCUUUCAGCUGGGAAGAUAAUGACGGUACCAGCAGAAGAAGCCCCGGCUAACUCCGUGCCAGCAGCCGCGGUAAUACGGAGGGGGCUAGCGUUGUUCGGAAUUACUGGGCGUAAAGCGCGCGUAGGCGGACCAGAAAGUUGGAGGUGAAAUCCCAGGGCUCAACCUUGGAACUGCCUUCAAAACUCCUGGUCUGGAGUUCGAGAGAGGUGAGUGGAAUUCCGAGUGUAGAGGUGAAAUUCGUAGAUAUUCGGAGGAACACCAGUGGCGAAGGCGGCUCUCUGGUCUGUAACUGACGCUGAGGUUCGAAAGCGUGGGUAGCAAACAGGAUUAGAAACCCGUGUAGUCC